UGGGGAAUUUUGGACAAUGGGGGAAACCCUGAUCCAGCCAUCCCGCGUGUGCGAUGAAGGCCUUCGGGUUGUAAAGCACUUUUGGCAGGAAAGAAACGUCAUGGGUUAAUACCCCGUGAAACUGACGGUACCUGCAGAAUAAGCACCGGCUAACUACGUGCCAGCAGCCGCGGUAAUACGUAGGGUGCAAGCGUUAAUCGGAAUUACUGGGCGUAAAGCGUGCGCAUGCGGUUCGGAAAGAAAGGUGUGAAAUCCCAGAGCUCAACUUUGGAACUGCAUUAUUAACUACCGGGCUAGAGUGUGUCAGAGGGAGGGGGAAUUCCGAGUGUAGCAGUGAAAUGCGUAGAUAUGCGGAGGAACACCGAUGGGGAAGGCAGCCUCCUAGGGUAACACUGACGCUCAUGCACGAAAGCGUGGGGAGCAAACAGG
rnacentral:rRNA from 1 species